rnacentral:rRNA from 1 species
AUGGACGCCGGCGCGCUCCAGCUCGCCGCCGCCGCCGUUGCCAUCGUCGUCGCCGCGUUGGUAUGCAGAUGGUUCCUUGUGGCGUGCGCGGUCGGGGUCCGGAAGCAGAGGCCGCGGCUACCGCCGGGUAGCACGGGGUUGCCCCUGAUCGGCGAGACGCUGCGGCUGAUCUCUGCAUACAAGACGCCCGACCCGGAGCCCUUCAUUGAUGAGCGCGUGGCGCGGCACGGGGGCGUGUUCACCACCCACAUCUUCGGCGAGCGCACCGUCUUCUCCGCCGACCCGGCCUUCAACCGCCUCCUCCUCGCCGCCGAGGGCCGCGCCGUGAGCUGCAGCUACCCUUCCUCCAUCACCACGCUCCUCGGCGCGCGCUCCCUGCUCCUCACACGGGGCACCGCCCACAAGCGCCUCCACUCGCUCACCCUCACCCGCCUCGGGCGCCCCGCCUCGCAGCCCCUGCUCGCGCACAUCGAGCGCCUCGUGCUCGCCACCAUGCGCCAGUGGGAGCCCACCGCCACCGUGCGUCUCCUCGACGAGGCAAAGAAGAUCACCUUCAACCUCACCGUCAAGCAGCUCGUCAGCAUCGAGCCCGGGCCCUGGACCGAGAGCCUCCGCCGCGAAUACGUCAAGCUCAUCGACGGCUUCUUCUCCAUCCCCUUCCCUUUCGCCUCAUUCCUCCCCUUCACCACCUACGGCCAGGCCCUCAAGUCGAGGAAGAAGGUGGCCGGAGCGUUGAGGGAGGUGAUAAGGAAGAGGAUGGAGGAGAGAGGAGAGGAGAAAGGAGUGAAGGAGGAGAUGGACGGAAAGAGGGAGAAGAAGGACAUGGUGGAGGAGCUUCUUGAGGCGGAGGGUGGGAGCUUCUCGGAGGAGGAGAUGGUGGACUUCUGCCUGUCCCUGCUCGUUGCUGGGUACGAGACCACUUCCGUCCUCAUGACGGUGGCCGUCAAGUUCCUCACCGAGACGCCGGCGGCGCUGGCACAGCUCAAGGAAGAGCAUGAAAAUAUGACAAAGAUGAAAGGUGAAAAUCAACCCCUAGAGUGGGUCGAUUACAAGUCAAUGACCUUCACCCAAUGUGUGAUAAAUGAGACACUUCGUGUGGCUAACAUAAUCGGUGGGGUAUUUAGGCGAGCAAACACUGAUAUUCAUUUUAAAGGUUACACUAUCCCGAAGGGCUGCAAAAUAUUUGCUUCGUUCCGAGCUGUGCACCUCAACAAUGAACACUAUGAGAACGCCCGGACGUUUGACCCAUGGAGAUGGCAGAGCAACAACAAACUUCAGAACGAGGUAGGGGCCAACUUAUUUACUCCCUUUGGCGGUGGACCUCGGUUGUGCCCUGGCUACGAGCUCGCUCGGGUUGUCAUCUCUGUUUUCCUCCAUCAUCUUGUAAUGCGCUUUAGCUGGGAAGCGGCCGAGGAAGAUAGGCUCGUCUUCUUUCCCACCACUCGAACCCUCAAAGGAUAUCCGAUCAAUCUCAGGCGGCGAUCGAAGUCUGUUUGA